AUGUUGGUUUCUUCUCUCUUCCUUCGUCAGCUCUCCCAGAGGAAGAGGAGGAGACGAGACUCAAGGUAUUUUACGAGCCUCGAGCCUCGUUUCUUCUCACAGCUCUUACAGAUUCUGCUCAGAGCCCCCUCCCCACAUUGCCUGUCCUCAGGCCCUAGAGGUCCUGGACAAAGCACAGCCUCCUCGUCAUCAGCGCCUGCGCCUCGGGACCACCCUCCAGAAAACGGCGGAGAACCAACUAGGUUCCACCUACUUGGUUGGUCAUUACUUCUGUGGUGGAGCUUGGAAAGCACGCCAACAAUCGCAAUAAUAAUAACAACACAUUUGUAUAGCGUGUUGUGCUCGUUUGUAUGCGUGUGUUAUGACUUCAUGAUUGGGAGAUGCAGGCACCUGGAUGUAGAAGUAGCUUCUGGGCAGCUGCAAGGGAGCGCGCAGACCACAGAAAGAAAUGACAGGUACAGUCGACUGAGCCGCGGAAACCGGGACCUGGCAGGUAGGAAAGUAGCGCCACAAGGCUUGUCAAAAGCCCAGCGGCUAGGAAAGGUUUCAUUUCCCUUUUAAGACACUCCUGCCUUUCCGUGCCUCCCUGUUCAGCCUUGGAGGGCCCAAUUCCUCACCCCGCGCUGUUCCGUUAUUUCCUCCCCCCGCCCCCCUCACGUAGAAAGGUGGAUCAGCCCUCCCCGCACGCGACUAGCGGUGGUUGGGCCGGGAUGCGGGAAGUUUCUGAUUGGCGGAGUCGCGGAAGCACCGGGUGAAAAGAGCUCCACUGACGGCGUGCCCCGCUCCCGGCGCAGCCAGAGCCGUACGGCAAAAUGGCGGCCCCCAGGUACUUCGGACGCCCGGAGGCGACAAAUCCUCCCCCUGCAGGUCAGGGUGAAAGGAGCCGCAGACUAGGUGGGCGGCAGGGGAGGCUCUAGGAGGGGCGGCCCUCCCUCCCUUCCUGCCUGACGGCGGCACAGGAUUCCGUGCGACAAUAUGGCCGCGCCCAGAGCGUGUGGGCGGAAGCUCCGCGGCUUCCGGUACGGAGUGGGGCCUGCGGUGGGAGGGGGAAGGAAGACGGAGGGAACCAUGCGAGGUUCUGAGAUCNNNNNNNNNNNNNNNNNNNNNNNNNNNNNNNNNNNNNNNNNNNNNNNNNNNNNNNNNNNNNNNNNNNNNNNNNNNNNNNNNNNNNNNNNNNNNNNNNNNGGUGGGAGGGGGAAGGAAGACGGAGGGAACCAUGCGAGGUUCUGAGAUCCGCGGAGAGGGUCGCCUCGAGAGACCGUUUCUGAGGUGGGGGCCGGACGGUGUGGGGAGCGAAGGCGGGGGCAGGACUGUCGAGGGAGAGGUACUGGGGAGUCCCCGGCGCGGAGUCUGAGGGGCAGGCUGUGGGAUCCUCCUUCCUAUCCCUGAAGGGGAGUGGGGCGGCCAGGGGCUGAACUGGGGGAGGGGGACUUGGCGGGAAGCUCAUUUAGGGGAAGGACUGGACUCGGGGCUGGGAUCUGAGAGGAAUCGGGAGAGCCCAGCGUGGAGCUCACGAUUGGUUACAGGUCACUGAGAGAGAAUGGGGGAAGUUAGGGUGGGGUGAGAAGGAGGGGACUUGGGGUGAAAUAUCUUUAACCUAGCGCUUCGGUUUGAGGAGACCCAUCAGAGGGUGGAAUAUAGAGAUAAUUUAAGUAGGAGAAAAGGGAAUGGAUUGUUGGGAGGGAACCUCCUUCUCAGAGGGUCUCCGAGUUGGGGUUAUCUUUCAGAAUGGGGUGAGAGUAUAGAUUUGAUAUGUGUGAGAGAGAGCGAACAGGGAAAACGGUGGUGCCAGCGGGGCUGUGGUGUCUGUUCGAGAGAAUGUCAAGGAAAUCUGUAGUGCAGCGAGAGAGGUCGUCCAGGGGUUGAGAGGAAGACCCAACUUGGCAACUCUGAGAAAUAGUGGGGAAAACGAGACUGAAAGACCGGAUACAGGCGUGGGGGGUGGAGCUGGAGGUGGGACUUCAGGUUUUCAGAAGGUUUGGAACUCCCCCAGUAAAGGGCCAGAAAAACGUACAGUACUAAUGCUUGCUGAAGCCAGGAAAUGAGUACACUGUUGG
ensembl:lncRNA